rnacentral:rRNA from 1 species
AACGAACGCUGGCGGCAGGCUUAACACAUGCAAGUCGAACGCCCCGCAAGGGGAGUGGCAGACGGGUGAGUAACGCGUGGGAACGUACCUUUCGCUUCGGAAUAUUCCCGGGAAACUGGGAGCAAUGCCGAAUACGCCGUAUUGGGAAAGAUUUAUCGGCGAAAGAUCGGCCCGCGUUAGAUUAGCUAGUUGGCGGUGUAAUAGACCACCAAGGCUACGAUCUAUAGCUGGUCUGAGAGGAUGAUCAGCCACACUGGGACUGAGACACGGCCCAGACUCCUACGGGAGGCAGCAGUGGGGAAUCUUGGACAAUGGGCGCAAGCCUGAUCCAGCCAUGCCGCGUGAGUGAAGAAGGCCUUAGAGUUGUAAAACUCUUUCGCCGGUGAAGAUAAUGACGGUAACCGGAGAAGAAGCCCCGGCUAACUUCGUGCCAGCCGCCGCAGUAAGAC